AGAGUUUGAUCAUGGCUCAGAAUCAACGCUGGCGGCGUGCUCAGACAUGCAAGUCGAACGAUUAAACUUCUCUUCGGAGAAAAUAUAAAGUGGCGCACGGGUGAGUAACACGUAGGUAAUGUACCUUUGGGUGGGGAAUAACUUAGGGAGACUUAAGCUAAUACCGCAUAAUGCAGCGGCUCCUUCGGGAGACAGUUGUUAAAGAUUUAUCGCCUAAAGAGCAGCCUGCGGCAGAUUAGCUAGUUGGUAGGGUAAUGGCUUACCAAGGCUACGAUCUGUAUCCGACCUGAGAGGGUGGUCGGACACACUGACACUGAAUAACGGGUCAGACUCCUACGGGAGGCAGCAGUCGGGAAUUUUGGGCAAUGGGCGAAAGCCUGACCCAGCAACGCCGCGUGAAGGAUGAAGUCUUUCGGGAUGUAAACUUCGUAAGAAUAGGAAGAAUAAAUGACGGUACUAUUUGUAAGGUCCGGCUAACUACGUGCCAGCAGCCGCGGUAAUACGUAGGGACCAAGCGUUGUUCGGAUUUACUGGGCGUAAAGGGCGCGUAGGCGGCAAUUCAAGUCAGCUGUGAAAUCUCCGAGCUUAACUCGGAACGGUCAGCUGAUACUGCUUUGCUAGAGUACAGAAGGGGCAAUCGGAAUUCUUGGUGUAGCGGUGAAAUGCGUAGAUAUCAAGAGGAACACCUGAGGUGAAGACGGGUUGCUGGGCUGAUACUGACGCUGAGGCGCGAAAGCUAGGGUAGCAAACGGGAUUAGAUACCCCGGUAGUCCUAGCCCUAAACGAUGAAUACUUGGUGUCUGGAGUUUAAUUCUCCGGGUGCCGUCGCUAACGUUUUUAGUAUUCCGCCUGGGGAGUACGCACGCAAGUGUGAAACUCAAAUGAAUUGACGG
rnacentral:rRNA from 1 species